GGGCCUAUAGCUCAGCGGUAGAGCCACCGGCUCAUAACCGGUUGGUCCUUGGUUCGAACCCAAGUAGGCCCA
rfam:Anaeroglobus geminatus F0357 genomic scaffold Scfld31, whole genome shotgun sequence.